CGUAGCUUUGGACCUGUGCUAUACCAACCUACGAUGUGCUCCUUAGCAUUUAUCCUCUUAAACAUUGAAAACAUCGAUUCAUGAUAGUUGUGGUCAAGAAACCAUAUGCUUGGAUCUUUCUCAUCUUCUUCAAAGGGAACUGCAUAGCUAUUGCUGACAUCGACGGUGCCCUUGAAAGAGCUACCGAGUAAAACUCCUACAACUCGUUUGCGGGAUUCUUUAGCGACUCGGUUGUAGUUAUCGACGAUGCUGAGUAAAACCAAAGGGUGGACUACAACCUUCUCGACUGGCCUCGAUGAUAUUUGCUGCGUCUUGAUCACAUCCAUGGCGGAAUUUUUGCAGUAUCUCCGAG
rnacentral:misc_RNA from 1 species